ACGCAGCAUUAUUUCUUUAGAGCGGCUAAGC
rnacentral:misc_RNA from 1 species